AUCCGCCGCCGGCGUGGACUCCGAGGUACGAGCGGGAGCCGCCAUUUUCCCGGAAGAACGGGUCUUCUUCGAACCGAAUCGAGCUUUAUUGAAACACCGGAAACAAACACGGGCAAGGAGAAGGGGGGCGCCGGGAGGAGAGGGAAGGGGCGGAAGUUCCCGCGGUUUGGGGGAGGCGGUGGGGUCCCGCCGCGUUUGGGCUCGCGUUUACGCCGGUUGUGUUUUCUCCGUUCGUCCGCUCUUCACGUUUAUUCAAAAAAGUGUUGGCUAGCGCCGCUGUGACCCCGACAAAUAUCCACGAGUCCUGCCGUUAUGGAGUUUACCGAGGGGUGGAGGGAGACAGACAUUAAUCCGGAGGGGAAGGGUUCCCACAGGCCAGCUCUUUGCUCCCCUCCCGCACCCUGAGUCUCCCCCUGAGCCCCAGCAUGGAGCCCGGAGCCUAGUGAGGCAGCUCAGAGAAGCACAGAUUGGGAAAUGGAGGCUCCAGCAAAGACUGAUCGCAUCGUGCUGCUCGCGAGGACUAGAUCCAAGGUGGACCGGAAGUUCACGUGUUCUUCUAAGACACUAAGUGAACACAGGAAAGUUCUUUGAAAAAGAAACUCCUUUGUUUCUAAAGGAAGAAUGUGGCGUUCUAGCUCAGCAGCUCCUGCUCUGAAUGGGCGGCGACACGGAGCUCCGGCUCUGGUACGAACUCAGGAACUCACUCAUGUUCUGUAAAGAAGGUCGGUGGAUCCCUUCAGCGGGAAUGGGACACGGUAGAUGGGGAGAGAGUGCAUUCCAGAUUCCCUAGCAGCUCGUGAGCCGGGACAGAGGGAUGGGCUCCAGAUUUAUCACCUAAUGCUCAGGAUGGGAGAAUGUUGCUGGCUUACUGCCUGAGGUACAACAUUUACACACACUCAAGUACACACAGCUUCCCCAGCAAUGUCUGGAUUCCCCCAUUCUUAAGAAAGACAAAGGCAGAAGAGGCUUGCCCAUCAGCAAGCUCCAGAAAUCCCGCCGCCUUGUCUCUUCUCAGUGGAGAGUUUAAUAAUUUCACAUGAUUCUGAGCUGACUACCUAUAGUUAGGGGGCGUGAAAGGAAGACAAGGUGAGUAAAUACGCCUUACCGAUACACUGAACACAGUGCGUAGGGGACAAGGAGCCACAAAUCCUUUGUUCUGUUUCAGAGGAACUGUGUGUGUGCACACCAGACCCCCCCACCGAAAGCAG